CCUACGGGUGGCAGCAGUGGGGAAUAUUGGACAAUGGGGGGAACCCUGAUCCAGCCAUGCCGCGUGUGUGAAGAAGGCCCUCGGGUUGUAAAGCACUUUCAGUGAGGAAGAACGCCUGGUGGUUAAUACCCAUCAGGAAAGACAUCACUCACAGAAGAAGCACCGGCUAACUCCGUGCCAGCAGCCGCGGUAAUACGGAGGGUGCGAGCGUUAAUCGGAAUUACUGGGCGUAAAGCGCGCGUAGGUGGCUUGAUAAGCCGGUUGUGAAAGCCCCGGGCUCAACCUGGGACCGGCAUCCGGAACUGUCAAGCUAGAGUGCAGGAGAGGAAGGUAGAAAUCCCGGUGUAGCGGUGAAAUGCGUAGAGAUCCGGAGGAAUACCAGUGGCGAAGGCGGCCUUCUGGACUGACACUGACACUGAGGUGCGAAAGCGUGGGUAGCAAACAGGAUUAGAUACCCCGGUAGUC
rnacentral:rRNA from 1 species